rnacentral:rRNA from 1 species
AUACGGAAGGUCCGGGCGUUAUCCGGAUUUAUUGGGUUUAAAGGGAGCGCAGGCGGAGAUGCAAGCGUGACGUCAAAUUUCGGGGCUCAACCCCGUCUCGCGUCGCGAACUGCGUCCCUUGGUUGCGGGAAGGGGAGGCGGAACUCGUGGUGGAGCGGUGAAAUGCAUAGAUAUCACGAAGAACUCCGAUCGCGAAGGCAGCCUUCCGGCCCGUCAACGACGCUCAUGCUCGAAGGUGCGGGUAUCAAACAGGAUUAGAUACCCUGGUAGUCCGCACAGUAAACGAUGGACACCCGCGGUUUGGCCUGUAUGGCUGAGCCGCCAAGCGAAAGCGUUAAGUGUCCCACCUGGGGAGUACGCCGGCAACGGUGAAACUUAAAGGAAUUGACGGGG